rnacentral:rRNA from 1 species
UGGGGAAUUUUGCACAAUGGGGCAAACCCUGAUGCAGCGACGCCGCGUGAUUUAGAAGGCCUUCGGGUUGUAAAAAUCUUUUGUAUGGGAAGAAAAUGACAGUACCAUACGAAUAAGGACCGGCUAAUUACGUGCCAGCAGCCGCGGUAAUACGUAAGGUCCGAGCGUUGUCCGGAAUUAUUGGGCGUAAAGCGCGCGCAGGCGGCUGCUUAAGUCCAUCUUAAAAGUGCGGGGCUUAACCCCGUGAUGGGAUGGAAACUGAGAAGCUGGAGAGUCGGAGAGGAAAGUGGAAUUCCUAGUGUAGCGGGGAAAUGCGUAGAGAUUAGGAAGAACACCGGUGGCGAGGGCGACUUUCUGGACGACAACUGACGCUUAGGCGCGAAAGCGUGGGGGGCAAACAGG